rnacentral:rRNA from 1 species
CCCUUAGAUGUUCUGGGCCGCACGCGCGCUACACUGAGCCCUUCAUCGAGUUUACAACCUUGGCCGGUAGGUCUGGGUAAUCUUCUCAAAGGGGCUCGUGCUGGGGAUAGAUUAUUGUAAUUUUUAAUCUUCAACGAGGAAUUCCUAGUAAACGCAAGUCAACAGCUUGCAUUGAUUACGUCCCUGCCCUUUGUACACACCGCCCGUCGCCACUACCGAUUGAAUGGCUUAGUGAGCCCGAGGGACUGUUGCACCUAGAGGGUUUUCUCUCCAGGAGCAGCCGGGAACUCGGUCAAACUUGAUCAUUUAGAGGAAGUAAAAGUCGUAACA